rnacentral:tRNA from 1 species
GAGGGUAUAGCUCAGUGGUAGAGUGCAUGCCUAGCAUGUAUGAUGAGGUCCUGGAUUCGAUUCCCAGUACCUCCA